rnacentral:lncRNA from 1 species
AUGGUCCUUCGAGCCGGAGCCCAGAUUUACUACGGAGAAAUGUCACAGCAUGAAGAGGAUGAGCCGGUCGUGCGUGCCAGGAGGAAGACAGUCCUCCCCGUGCGAUAUGAAGAUUAUAAUCUCAGCGGCUUCACUCUCCCAAAGCUGUUUCCUGAAUGCAUGUCACCACAUUCUCAGCUUCAUCCUACAGUGCCUCCCAGCCUAGAACCAGAGGACUGUGCACGUGCAACUGGGAUCACUCCACAACAGUUACCGCACAAAGAGCUUGAUAACCCUCUACAGUGGUCUGACGAUGAACCAUGGGGCUCUGAAACCAGCAUCCUCCAGCGAGAAAAUAGGGACCUAAGACUUGCCCAUGACAAUCUGCUACAGACCCUGCAGACAAUGCAGCAAGAAAGGGACACGUUUCAACAAGCUACAGAUCGGUAUUCACAAGAACUUUCUCAGUUAAAACAACAAAUGCAGCAGCUACAGAUUCAAAUGGUGCAGCAACAGCCUGCAGAACAGUUUUCUCCACCGGUCACUCCUACGCGACCUGUACCUGCACCACGCCGUUUGUUGAGAACACAACAGAGUGAUAAGAGCAUUGCACCACUGUCAGCCCCACGAGUCAGGCCUGCUGAGUCAGAUCAGCCUGAGCACAGUUCUGAAACAUUCUUAGCUCCAACCGCUGUCCCCAGCACAAAGCCUACCUUGCCGUACCAUACAUCACAUUCUGAAAAUGUCAAGUGGGAUGAAUCAAGGGUGGAAAGAACCUAUUAUUCCAGGGCUGAGAUGCCUGACAGGCUGAGUUGUACAUCAUAUGAGCCAGAGUCAGCAGUCCCUCCAUCCUUCGGGUCUCCCAGACGCUCUCACCUGCCAUGCAGAGCAUCCAGUCCGGUUCCGCCCGAGCUAGAGCAGAUGUACCGAGGUCCAACCCCCACAAUUCCAGACUUCGUAUAUCCAAACCCUAGAGAAUUCUCGCGGCUCAAGAUAGCUCUGGAAAAUAUUCUGCCAGCUACAGCCACUGAAAGAUUCAAAUUCCAAAUACUUACUGAUCACCUCAAACUAGAGGAGGCCCAGCUUAUCGCCGACUCAUACAGCCAUUCACAACAACCUUUCACAAAGACCAUGGCAGCACUGGAUCAGCAAUACGGACAGCCACAUCAGCUCGCAUUGCAACGCAUAGCAGAGCUCAUGGAUGGUCCAAACAUAGCCAGUGGGGACAUUAAAACAUUCCGACUCUUCGCCCUCAAGGUUCGUUCCCUCGUCGGCAUGUUAGAACAACUAGGAAAGAAGGGCACCUUUGAGUUGCAGUGCGGCUCUCAUGUCUCCCGGCUCCUAGGGAAGCUGCCGCACGAUCUCAGGUCAAGUUUUCGGCGCUUUGCACAUCCCUACCAAGUGCCAAUCCCCACCCUUCUUGAUCUGUCAGAGUGGCUAGAGUAUGAAAUUCAAGUGCAGGAGGACACAACAAGGUUUGCAGGAGCCGGUCGUCGUGGAUAUCCAGCACGACCACGAGAAGUGAUCAGAGACCCCAAGCCAUUCACUAAAAGUGCCACCAUUCUGCUUGGCACAGAGAAAGCACCUCCAUUGACAAAGAUGAUACCUACGGCCAACAAGCCUGUUUUAACCCCUUACUGCCCUUACUGUGACCACCACAAACACUCCCUCAACAACUGCAACAAUUUUAAGCUGCUUACCAUAGACCAGAAACGGAACUGGAUCAAAGACUGCAACAGAUGCUGCCGCUGUGGAAGGAAUCAUCAAGCUUCAGAGUGCAAUCUGAGAAUGCGCUGCAAACAGUGUAAUAGCCGUCACCUUCUGGUCCUUCAUGACAUCAAUCUCAGGAGUGAAGACCUCCCAAAGACUAACCCCAAAUGA